CAACUACUCCCUCUGUCCCAAAUUUCUUGUCUUAGAUUUGUCUAGAUACGGAUGUAUCUAAUACUAAAAUGUGACUUGAUACAUCCGUAUCUAGACAAAUCUAAGAAAAGAAUUUUGGGACGGAGGGAGUACUUU
rfam:Triticum aestivum genome assembly, contig: Triticum_aestivum_CS42_TGACv1_scaffold_226374_3B